rnacentral:misc_RNA from 1 species
AACCAUAGAAACCUGCGGAGUACCUGCGGAGGGAUCAUUACCGAGUUUACAACUCCCAAACCCCUGUGAACGUACCAAUUGUUGCCUCGGCGGAUCAGCCCGCUCCCGGUAAAACGGGACGGCCCGCCAGAGGACCCCUAAACUCUGUUUCUAUAUGUAACUUCUGAGUAAAACCAUAAAUAAAUCAAAACUUUCAACAACGGAUCU